rnacentral:rRNA from 1 species
ACGGGACCCGCACAAGCGGUGGAUGAUGUGGUUUAAUUCGAUGCAACGCGAAAACCUUUACCCACCUUUGACAUGUACGGAAUCCUUUAGAGAUAGAGGAGUGCUCGAAAGAGAGCCGUAACACAGGUGCUGCAUGGCUGUCGUCAGCUCGUGUCGUGAGAUGUUGGGUUAAGUCCCGCAACGAGCGCAACCCUCAUUGUUAGUUACUACCAUUCAGUUGAGGACUCUAAUGAGACUGCCAACGAUAAGUUGGAGGAAGGUGGGGAUGACGUCAAAUCAUCAUGCCCUUUAUGACCUGGGCUACAAACGUACUACAAUGGCCAAUACAAAGAGAUGCGAAGCGGUGACGUGGAGCGAACCUCAGAAAGUUGGUCUCAGUUCAGAUUGAAGUCUGCAACUCGACUUCAUGAAGGCGGAAUCGCUAGUAAUCGCGGGUCAGCAGACCGCGGUGAAUACGUUCCCGGGUUUU